rnacentral:misc_RNA from 1 species
AACAUCGCGCACCUGCGGGAACCUGCGGAAGGAUCAUUACAGAGUUGCAAAACUCCCUAAACCAUUGUGAACGUUACCUAGACCGUUGCUUCGGCGGGCGGCCCGGGUCCUUCCCGGCGCCCAUCGGCCCUCGCGGGCGCCCGCCGGAGGUAAACCAAACUAUUGCAUUGUAUGGCCUCUCUGAGUCUUCUGUACUGAAUAAGUCAAAACUUUCAACAAUGGAUCUCAGAUCGGAAGAGC